rnacentral:tRNA from 1 species
GCCGGGGUGGCGGAAUGGCAGACGCAGAGGAUUCAAAAUCCUCCGGGGUAACACCCGUGGGGGUUCGAUACCCCCCCUCGGCACCA